rnacentral:rRNA from 1 species
GAUGAACGCUGGCGGCGUGCCUAAUACAUGCAAGUCGAGCGAACAGACGAGGAGCUUGCUCCUCUGACGUUAGCGGCGGACGGGUGAGUAACACGUGGAUAACCUACCUAUAAGACUGGUAUAACUUCGGGAAACCGGAGCUAAUACCGGAUAAUAUAUUGAACCGCAUGGUUCAAUAGUGAAAGACGGUUUUGCUGUCACUUAUAGAUGGAUCCUCGCCGCAUUAGCUAGUUGGUAGGGUAACGGCUUAUCAGGGCAACGAUGCGUAUCCGACCGGAGAGGGUGAUCGGCCACACUGGAACGUGGACACGGUCCAGGCGCCUACGGGAGGCAGCAGUAGGGAAUCUUCCGCAAUGGGCGAAAGCCUGACGGAGCAACGCCGCGUGAGUGAUGAAAGUCUUCGGAUCGUAAAACUCUGUUAUUAGGGAAGAACAAAUUUGUAAGUAACUAUGCACGUCUUGACGGUACCUAAUCAGAAAGCCACGGCUAACUACGUG